rnacentral:rRNA from 1 species
AUUGAACGCUGGCGGCAGGCUUAACACAUGCAAGUCGAGCGAGCGGCGGACGGGUGAGUAAUGUCUGGGCAACUGCCUGAUGGAGGGGGAUAACUACUGGAAACGGUAGCUAAUACCGCAUACCAUCAGAUGUGCCCAGAUGGGAUUAGCUAGUGGGUGGGGUAAUGGCUCACCUAGGCGACGAUCCCUAGCUGGUCUGAGAGGAUGACCAGCCACACUGGAACGGAGACACGGUCCAGAGUCCGACGUGAGGCAGCAGUUGGGAAUAUUGCGCAAUGGGCGCAAGCCUGAUACAGCCAUGCCGCGUGUGUGAAGAAGGCCUUCGGGUUGUAAAGCACUUUCAGCGGGGAGGCGUUACUCGCAGAAGAAGCACCGGCUAACUCCGUGCCAGCAGCCGCGGUAAUAC